rnacentral:rRNA from 1 species
CCAGACUCCUACGGGAGGCAGCAGUGAGGAAUAUUGGUCAAUGGCCGAGAGGCUGAACCAGCCAAGUCGCGUGAGGGAAGACGGCCCUACGGGUUGUAAACCUCUUUUGUCAGGGAGCAAAGGGCGCCACGUGUGGCGUUUUGCGAGUACCUGAAGAAAAAGCAUCGGCUAACUCCGUGCUAGCAGCCGCGGCAAUACGGAGGAUGCGAGCGUUAUCCGGAUUUAUUGGGUUUAAAGGGUGCGCAGGCGGAAUGGCAAGUCAGCGGUAAAAUUUCGGGGCUCAACCCCGUCGUGCCGUUGAAACUGGCGUUCUUGAGUGAGCGAGAAGUAUGCGGAAUGCGUGGUGUAGCGGUGAAAUGCAUAGAUAUCACGCAGAACUCCGAUUGCGAAGGCAGCAUACCGGCGCUCAACUGACGCUCAUGCACGAAAGCGUGGGUAUCGAACAGGAUUAGAUACCCUAGUAGAG